AAGGCAAAAUGGUUUUUUUUCGGGGUAAGGAUAGUCUCUGUAUAUUGAAAGGACUGAAACUCACCAGAAAGACUUUUACCAAGAGAACAUACACUAGAAAGGAAUUAUCAGCAUUAAGUGUUUAUAGUAAAGGAGCAAAGUAGAUCACUAAUAAGCCUAGCAUCCAACUUAAGAUAUUAGAAACAAUAAAAUAUGCCUAAAUACUACAUGAAGGAAUAAAAUGUAAAGAUAACAGAAAACAAUGGUAAUGAACACAAAAUAGAAAGGAUCAAUAAAGCCUAUAUUUAAUGAUUUGUAAGGACUAAUAAAAUAGAAAAACUAUUUUAGGACUGAUCAAGAAAAAAUAGGUAAAAUGAACAAUUUUAGUAGCUAAAAAGAGGUCAUAAUGCAGAUAGAGUUAAGGAUUUUUAUUAUAUUUUUUUAUUUCUAAAGAUUUAUUUAUUUGAGACAGAGAAUGAGUGCGAGCAAAGGGAGGAGCCGAGGACGAGCAAGAGAGAAUGCUCAAGCUGACUACCUGCUCAGCAGGGAGCUGAUGUGCAGUUGGAUCCCAGGACACUGAGAUUAUGACCUGAGCCUAAAUCAGGGACUGGCCCCCUAACCAAAAAGGUGCCCCAAAGUUGAGGAUUUUCAAAUGAUGAAACAAUCCUAUGGACAACUUCAGCCUUCCUUUCACCUUUUCACACCACUGGUGAGGAGUGCUUUCUGCCCUAAGGCUCUGGAGAUGGCCGAACACAUGACACAUGACAUCGGACAAAUGUCACUGAUAGCAGUUGAUUAGACACAUAUCCUCACAAGAGGAGGACAUUGAAAGUGGUGAAGGGCAACAGAGAAGUUGUAUUUGGAAAUAGAGUGAACCACCAGGGGCUGUCAGAGACCAACUUUGGAGUAUCAAGGUCAGGUGACACCCUGGUUGGUUCCUGUGGGAAGGUGUGAUUGGCCUGUCUGAAUAACUCAGUGGUUGGUAGGAAACUGAAACGUGCUACUCAAGGAUAAGCAGGACUGGUGUCUGGUCCCCCUUUAUGAGGGUUGUUUGGCUACAGGACCCUUUCUGUGGGAGCAGCGUGGAGGAAACUUGCAGUCAUGCCAUCAUAGGCCCUCCCAACUUUACUACAGGUCAAGGCAGCACUUGACAUUGAGCCUUAAUUUUAGUCUCUUCACCACACUGGUCACCAAAAUAAAUUCACAAAACCAAAUGCA
rnacentral:lncRNA from 12 species